rnacentral:rRNA from 1 species
UUUAUCGAUCAUAUAACGUUGGAAGCACUCAUCUCAUCCGAUCUGUCAAGUUAAGCAGUGUUGGGCUCGAUUCGUAAUUGAAUCAAAAACGGCAUUAGUGGGAAUUUCAAAUGUUGUUAAUG